AGUCAAGCGAUAAAAAGAAAUUAUUUCCUCUUAUAAGCAUCCAGACAAAGCCAAGUCCACAAUCACAUUAACCACUUUUAUUAGCAAGAUCAUGGAGAGGUUGAAGAGGUUUUGCUUCCAUGAAGUAAGCUUCACUGAUCGAGAUGGUCCGUUAAGAACAUCCGGAGUGCCGGUGGUGCAAGAACUCAGCCGUCGAGGAGUUACCUGCCUGCCUGAUAGGCGUGCAAUGGAGACUUAUGUGAUCAAGCCCAACAAGUCCUGGAAUCCCUGGUCGAAUCCUUUUCCUUGGAGAAGAACGUGCUCCUCCAGGCAUUCGAUCCUGGAAGAUCUGAGAUGAACACAGGGUAAACUACUACCCGCCCUGCCCAAGGCCUGACCUGGCGCUGGGCCAUCCACCCCCACGCUAAUGCAAGUGCCCUGACCCUCCUGUUCCAGCUUGAUGCCGGCACCGGCGGCCUCCAGGUGCUCACUCGGCAGGGCCCACAGAGUUUGAGGACCGUUGAGUGGCCCAAAGGUGCACUGCUUGUGAGUGCUGGGGAUUUGCUUGAAAUCAUGACUGAUGGGAAGGUCAAGAACCCGUGUCACAGGGCCUUGAUCCACUGCAAUGUGGAAUGCAUCUCCAUCGCGUUGUUCUACGAUCCACCCUUGGAUGCAGAGAUUGUGCCCCUGAAAGGAGCGACUGGGAGGUAUAGGAGGGUCGUGGUGGACGACUAUUUAAGGCAUGUGUAUAAGAUUAGCCCUACUAAGAAUUAAGAAGCUAUAUCGUAUGCCAGACAAGAAACUUAAGCUAGCGCCAAGUUUUUUGGUUUACAUGCUGUCAAGUCAGGAAAAAAACUGUCACCAGAAAGAUGUUCGUUCUCAUAUAAUUGUUUGUACAUCGCAAAUAAGAUGGGAGCAAUUUUCCAGCAUCCUGAUAUGGAUGCAGAAAAAGUUGUUAAUGUUAGUCAUGUCAAAGGCAUUUGUCGGA